rnacentral:snRNA from 1 species
GUGCUCGCUUCAGCAGCACAUAGACUAAAAUUGGAACGAUACAGAGUAGAUUAGCUUGGCCCCUGCGCGAGGAUGACAGGCAAAUUCGUGAAGCGUUCCAUAUUUAA